rnacentral:lncRNA from 1 species
CUCCUCCAGUAGACAUUGAUGGUAUUCGUGAACCUGUUUCAGGGUCUCUACUUUACGGAAACAAUAUUAUUUCCGGUGCCAUUAUUCCUACUUCUGCAGCUAUAGGUUUACAUUUUUACCCAAUCUGGGAAGCGGCAUCCGUUGAUGAAUGGUUAUACAACGGUGGUCCUUAUGAACUAAUUGUUCUACACUUCUUACUUGGCGUAGCUUGUUACAUGGGUCGUGAGUGGGAGCUUAGUUUCCGUCUGGGUAUGCGACCUUGGAUUAGUAAAGGACUCGGGGGGGUUUACAGAAGGUAUGCAGUCAGAGUUGGAGAAAGGAAGUGAAAGGAAGAACAAGGAUCUUUCCCCCGCAAAGGAGGCGACUGUGCACUUUUUUGAAAGGAAGCUUUAGCAUCAGAGAAAGCUAGUUCGGGGUCGGUGAACAAAAGAAGGCUAGAUCUUCAGUAGAGAAAGAGAUAGACUGAGAUCUCAGCUAGAAGAAUCUCACGAUUAGAAUGAGUUCUUGCUUCUUACCUUAGGGGUCCAACACUAUAAUAACAAACUUCGAAACAUUUAAUGAAUAUACAAUCAAUAUUUAUUAACAUCAAGUAGGUAUUGGAUACAUCGUUUGAGGUACAACAAUACAAAUUGCUAGAAAAUAAUAGCAAGUUCUCACAGUUCCUGAACAAUGCCUAAAUGUUUUGAAGGAACUAAAAAAAUAUUUCUUAGUCAUAUGCAUUUUUAAGUUAGUCCAAAAAGAUGACAGGUGCAAACAUUUAUAUUCUAAUAUUUAUAUUGCAGAUGUGGCAUCUUCCAACCAUCAGUUGUUCCUUUCCUUCCAAAUUAUGCAUUCUCCAGAGUAUGCAGAAAGGUACACCGUUUCAGAUAGCCUUAUAUUUUUUUCUCAUUUUCCUUCCCUGUCAGCUACUGGUAGCAACUCUUAGAUUGGAUAGUCUGAUCGAUUAUAGCUACGAUUUAAGAGAAUUGGGAAACUUUUGUUAAUAGAAAUACAAUAAGAAUAGGAAUUAGAAUCAUGUACCUGUUAUGUAGUGGAAUAAAAUUACAACCCAGAAAAUUGCCCCUAAGUCCAACUUUGAUUCUCUUGGAAAACAAAGUUUAGUUCCAUAAACUAAAUGCCUUUUUUAUAUGUAUUUUACAAAAAAAGAAGAGAAAACUUCUCUAUUAAGUAAUAAGAAGAUUAAUGAGAAAGGGAGAGUAAUUCCUUUUUUGUUGUUCGUUCUUACCCAUUUGAAGAAGAAGACCAAAAUCAGUUUUUAAAGAGAAAGAAAUUAACUGCUAUGGAAAAACUGCUCUCAACCACACCUAAAUGUAUAGUAACUUCUCCAAAGAAGUUAAUUUAUUUCCAAAUUCUAUCUCUCCAUAAAUAGAUUGGAUCAACCCACAUAGAGCGACCCGGUAUCCGAAUUCAGUACCUAACAACUUUCGAGGUUACAAAACUUUUAUGAUAAUUGUACCUGAGAGAUUGAUGCAAAUCCAUCUUUAACCAUCUCAAGUCAUUUCCUUUUGAACUCUGAAAUAACCUGCUAUUGCAAAUGCUUUAGGAGGGAAAAAGUUAGAAGAUAAGCGGCAACAAUUAAAGAAUGUGAACACUGAAUAGAAAUGGAGCAUCUAAAUUUUGUUUAGUCCUCUUUGCCUUGGAAUGAUCUAUUCAAUACUCGUCAGUGAAGCGAUCCUGAUCUAGACCUCCCCUAAUAACUUAAAUAUGUAAUGAAAAAAUUUAAAGUGCUAGUAUUUCUUAAGAAAAAAAUAGCAUGGUCAAAUAGUUCAUAAUUUUGUUCACAAACAUGCAAAAGAUGCACAUAAACAUGAAAAAAAUAGAACGUCUACCAGAAUCCUGCUGGUAGUAGAUGAACAGCAAGACUAACGAUCAAGUGUCUUCUUCAUUUACUUUUGCUUCUAAAAAGGAGGGGCAUAUGAGUUGUUUAAGACAUUAAAAAAACACCCUAUAAAGAAAGAUCUAUGGGCAAAAAAAUCCGCAUAUUGUGAAAAACUGCAAUUACAGAGUCCUAGUAGUUAAAAAGGCAAAUAGACGCGCAAACUACCAAAAAUGACUCUCCAGCUGUUUUAUACAAUGAAAAUCAGACUGGCCACCCUGUCUUCUAAAACUAAAGUUUACAGAACCGUCAACGCCAUGAGGUGCAUGAGCAGAAUGGGAAUGCAGAUUAAAUCUAAUGAUAUGUACCUAAAUUUCAAUAGGAUAAUCACAAUCUAAUGACAGAAUUUAACGGAGACUUCAUAUAAACACACAAUCAAAAAUCAGUAAUGACAUUAUAGCAACACAAUAAAAAAAUAAAUUAGCUUACACUAUACAAUUUAAGUACCAAUUAUUAUUUCAAAAAGGUUCAUCCCGGCUUAUUUCAAAGAGUAUCUAUGUUACGGCCCAAAAUUCCCACCGUCAGUACCGUGAUGGCUCCUAACAGUUCACUUGCUAGGCAAGCCAACGUUAGAAUAUUUUAUCCAUUUUUAACAGUUUAAAUUUACUUAAUGAGAAAGAACUGAAAUUACAGCAGUAAUCCAAAGUAAUAAUGCGAAAGCUAAAAUAGCCAAACGUUUGAUACAACCAUGGACCCGGUGUCAUAAGUGCACUAGCUACUAGAAUAACAAACAAGGGUCUGAAAUAACAUAAAGCUGUCUGAAAAGAAAGUACAUAGCCAAAUAAAAAGGGAAGGGGACUCCAGGUGUUGCUGGCACUGAGUAGUUGUACCUCAAGUCUUCACAAGCUGUCCAAUCCGAGCACGCUAAUAACCACCGAUGGGAUCGACUCCAAAAUUUGCACAAGAAGUACAAAGUAUAGUAUAAGUACAACCGACCCCAUGUAUUCUGUAAGCACUGAGCCUAACCUCGACGAAGUAGUGACGAGGCUAAGGCAGGUCAUUUACACUACAACUUGUAUGCUGCAUAUAAUAAAGACAGAAAGGGAAAUACGGAACAAAAUAGGAAAGUCAACUGAAGAUAAUAGCUACAGCCUCAAGAAAUAAGCCAGUGAUGAUCAGAGUUACCAAUCCUUAGAGUUUCAAGUGAAUAAACAGAAAACCAACAUAGCUCAAGAAAUAGAAACACAUAGAUUGUUGCAACGUGCAACCCGAUCCCACCGUACAACACAAUCCUCCCUUAUUCCACCGUAAAAAUAUCAACAAUCAAAAUCAAUAAAUAAAUAUUGCGGCGCGCAACUUGAUCCCAUUAUAUAAAUAUCAGUAUCAUAUUUCACCCUUAUUUCACCUGUUGCGGCAUGCAACCCGAUCCCACCAUAUCAGUACAAGUUCACCCUUAUUUCACCUGUUGUGGCGCGUAACCCGAUCCCAUCAUAUCAGUACCAAAUACACAACAAGCACAAUCAUAUAAUUCGAAUCACAAGAACCUUUAUGAUCAAUGAAUACAAAGCUGAACCAGAAAAGAAACCUUGUACAAUAUGGGAAUUCACAUAAGUAAUACCACACAACAAGACAAGUCCAGUAAGUGACAAUGAGACGUUGCUAGUAAGCCAAUUAAAUAGCAGGGAAUCAUGAAAAUAUGAAAAGAUCUAACAUUAUUAACAGGAGGAAACACUGAUUAACAGAUAGCAACUAUGCAUGGAAGACAUUUAGAGCAUAUAACAGUUAAGACAGGGAAGGGGAUAAUUAAGGAAAAACAAAAAAUUACGGAAACAAGUGAUUCUGCGACACAUAAGCACUCGUCACCUUGCAUAUACGCCACAACACAUGAAAUUCACAUAGCACAUAAUCUGAGGGUCCCUAAUUUCCUCAAGUCAAGGUUAAACUCAACACUUACCUCGCUCCAAAGACCAACUCAAAGCUCAACCACAGCUUUGCCUUUCAAACAAGGCUCCGAACAACAAAAUCUAGCAAAUUACCAACCAAACGAUUCAAAAUAAGCCUAAGGAACCACCCCACAAUUGCAAAAAGAUUCAAUUUAGGUUAUUAUUGAAAAAGUCAACAAAAGUCAACUCCCAGGCCUGCUUGGUCCAAACCCAAAAUUUGAAUCAAAAUCCAAUUACCCAUUCACCUCCAAGUCCGGUUGUGUAGUUUGUUUUGAAAUCCGACCUCAAAUUGAGGUUUAAAUCCCAAUUUUACAAAAAUUCCUAAUUCUACCCAAACCCCCAAUUUCCUCCAUAAAAAUACUAGAUUUUUUGUUGAAAACUUAUGAAAUGUAAUGAAAGAUUGAAAGAAAAUAUGUUAGAAUCAUUUACCAAUGGAUUUGGGAAGAAGGGCUCUUGGGAAUCGCCUCUAGGGUUCUCUAGGUUUGAAAUUUGAAGAAAUGAGAGAAAUCCCGUCUAACUCAACUUUUACACAGUUGCAGAUGUCGCAAUUGUGAUAUCUUGUUCGCAAUUGCGAGAAAGAGGUCGCAAUUGCGAACUCCUCUCAGAAUCCCAGUAAUUGCAUUUGCGAUAAAAUGAUCGCAAAUGUGAAUCUUGAUUUUCUCACAAAUGCGGAUCAAUCUUCGCAAAUGCGAAGAUUUUCACAAAAUGUGCUAAGUCGCAUAUGCGACUUUGCCUCCACAAAAGUGGAAAUGCCAAGUUCGCAAUUGCGCACUUUUACCUCGCAAAUGCGAGGAACCCCAACCAUGCCCAAGCUUGCAAAUGCGAUGGUUUCUUCCCAAAUACGAGCCAGGCCUCGCAAAUGUGAGCCAGAUCUCACAAAUGCAAGAUCUGGAGCAGACACCAGAAGCAGCUAUGAAUUUUAAGUCCAAUCCACUUCGUAGCCUAUCCGAAAUGCACCCGAGCCCUUGGGGCUCUAAACCAAAUAUGCACACAAGUCUAAAAAUAUCAUAUGAACUUGAUCGCGUGAUUAAAUCGCCAAAAUAACAUCUAGGACUAUGAAUCGGACACCAAAAUCAAAUAAAAAUCAAGAAAACUUUAGAGUUGCUAUUUUAACAACUGGACGUCCGAAUCACGUCAAACCAAUUUUGUUUCUCACCAAAUUUGACAGAUAAGUCAUAAAUAUAGUAUGGACCUGUACCAAGUUCUGAAACCAAAAUACGGAUCAAAUAUUAAUAAAGUCAAAUAUUGGUCAAACUUUCAUAUUCAUUAAGCCUUCAAACUUUAAUUAUUCUACAAAACACGAUAACUCGAGCUAGGGACCUCCGCAUUUGAUUCCGGGCAUAGACCCAAAUCCCAAAUCACGAUACAGACCCACCAGGACCGUCAAAACACAGAUCCAGGUCUGUUUUCUCAAAACAUGACCGAAGUCAACUCAAAUAGAUUUUUAAGGCAAAUUUUCAUAUUUUUUUUAGUUUUUAACAUACAAGCCUCUCGAAAAAAUACACGGGCUGCAUGAUAAGUAGGGAUUUUGACUACUUAUUUGCACUCUUUUACUUUAAUUUUAGCUCAAAAUUAAUUGCUUAAAGGUAUUUCAGAAAACUAAUGAAAUAUGCUUUCUUGUAGGAGUGUUGGAAUAUGAGCUAAAGAGAUAAAAAUCAACUCAAGAAGGAGUAAUUUUGGACAAGGACCAAAACAAGGA